AUUGAACGCUGGCGGCAUGCCUUACACAUGCAAGUCGAACGGUAGCACGGGUGCUUGCACCUGGUGGCGAGUGGCGAACGGGUGAGUAAUACAUCGGAACGUACCUUAUCGUGGGGGAUAACGCAGCGAAAGCUGUGCUAAUACCGCAUACGCCCUGAGGGGGAAAGCGGGGGACCGAAAGACCUCGCGCGAUUAGAGCGGCCGAUGCCUGAUUAGCUUGUUGGUGGGGUAAAAGCCCACCAAGGCGACGAGCAGUAGCUGGUCUGAGAGGAGGAGCAGCCACGAGGGGGGUGAGACACGGCCCAGACUCCUACGGGAGGCGGCAGUGGGGAAUUUUGGACAAUGGGGGCAACCCUGAUCCAGCAAUGCCGCGUGAGUGAAGAAGGCCUUCGGGUUGUAAAGCUCUUUUGUCAGGGAAGAAACACCGGCUCUAACACAGUCCGGGAAUGACGGUACCUGAAGAAUAAGCACCGGCUAACUACGUGCCAGCCGCCGCAGUAA
rnacentral:rRNA from 1 species